GAUGAACGCUGGCGGCGUGCCUAAUACAUGCAAGUCGAGCGAACAGAUGAGGAGCUUGCUCCUCUGACGUUAGCGGCGGACGGGUGAGUAACACGUGGAUAACCUACCUAUAAGACUGGGAUAACUUCGGGAAACCGGAGCUAAUACCGGAUAAUAUAUUGAACCGCAUGGUUCAAUAGUGAAAGACGGUUUUGCUGUCACUUAUAGAUGGAUCCGCGCCGCAUUCGCUAGUUGGUAAGGUAACGGCUUACCAAGGCAACGAUGCGUAGCCGGCCUGAGAGGGUGAUCGGCCACACUGGAACUGAGACACGGUCCAGACUCCUACGGGAGGCAGCAGUAGGGAAUCUUCCGCAAUGGGCGAAAGCCUGACGGAGCAACGCCGCGUGAGUGAUGAAGGUCUUCGGAUCGUAAAACUCUGUUAUUAGGGAAGAACAAAUGUGUAAGUAACUAUGCACGUCUUGACGGUACCUAAUCAGAAAGCCACGGCUAACUACGUG
rnacentral:rRNA from 1 species